GUGUCAGCAGCCGCGGUAAUACGUAGGGGGCGAGCGUUGUCCGGAAUUACUGGGCGUAAAGGGCACGCAGGCUGUGUGUCAAGUCAGCUGUCAAAGGAUGCGGCUUAACCGUGUUAUGCAGUUGAGACUGAUGUACUGGAGUACCGAAGAGGCAAGUGGAAUUCCCAGUGUAGCGGUGAAAUGCGUAGAUAUUGGGAAGAACAUCGGUGGCGAAGGCGACUUGCUGGUCGGUAACUGACGCUGAGGUGCGAAAGCCAGGGGAGCAAACGGGAUUAGAUACCCCGGUAGUCCUGGCCGUAAACGAUGAAUGCUAGGUGUGUGAGUAGAGAUACUGACGUGCCGCAGUUAACGCGAUAAGCAUUCCGCCUGGGGAGUACGGUCGCAAGAUUGAAACUUAAAUAAAUUGACGG
rnacentral:rRNA from 1 species